UCCUACAGGAGAAGUUAGUUGCCAAA
rnacentral:piRNA from 1 species